rnacentral:rRNA from 1 species
UACGUAGGGGGCGAGCGUUAUCCGGAUUCACUGGGUGUAAAGGGAGCGUAGACGGCCAAGCAAGCCAGGGGUGAAAGCCCGGGGCCCAACCCCGGGACUGCCCUUGGAACUGCAUGGCUGGAGUGCGGGAGGGGCAGGCGGAAUUCCUAGUGUAGCGGUGAAAUGCGUAGAUAUUAGGAGGAACACCAGUGGCGAAGGCGGCUUUCUGGACUGUAACUGACACUGAGGUACGAAAGCGUGGGGAGCAAACAGG